UGUCUUCUCUAAAGACAGCACAUGAAAAUUGGAACAAUAGAGAAGAUUAGCUUGUCCCCUGUGCAAUGAUGACAUGCAAAUUUUUGAAGCAUUCCAUAUUGUG